GCCAGGUGUGGUGGUGCACGCCUGCAAUACCAACUACCCGGAAGGCUGAGGCAGGAGAAUUGCAAAGUUUGAAGAUAGUCUGGGCAAUUUAUUGAGACCCUGUCUCUA
rnacentral:sRNA from 1 species